ACAAGCGGUGGAGUAUGUGGUUUAAUUCGAUGCAACGCGAGAACCUUACCUGGUCUUGACAUCCCGGAGACCCUUAGGAAACUAGGGGGUGCUUCCAUCUGGAAGAAUCUGGAGACAGGUGCUGCAUGGCUGUCGUCAGCUCGUGUCGUGAGAUGUUGGGUUAAGUCCCGCAACGAGCGCAACCCUUGCCUUUAGUUGCCAGCAGUUCGGCUGGGCACUCUAAAGGGACUGCCGGUGUUAAACCGGAGGAAGGUGGGGAUGACGUCAAGUCCUCAUGGCCUUUAUGACCAGGGCUACACACGUACUACAAUGGCCGAUACAAAGGGCAGCGACACUGCGAGGUGAAGCCAAUCCCGUAAAAUCGGUCUCAGUCCGGAUUGGAGUCUGCAACUCGACUCCAUGAAGUUGGAAUCGCUAGUAAUCGUGGAUCAGCAUGCCACGGUGAAUACGUUCCCGGGCCUU
rnacentral:rRNA from 1 species